GGAAUCAGCAAUUUAUUUGUUUAUAUGGGUAAAAAUGGCAUAUUCAGGAACUAUAUAAGCAUCUGUAAACUAAAGUCAUCAUAACACUAAUAGGAGAAAUGAUGGACCUUCAGUAGAACCUCUGCUGGCCUGUAACAUGCCUUUGAUGGCCUGGGAAAGGGCAUCCUUUUCUCUUGUCAGAGGAGGCUUCAUGUGGCCCACAAGGCUUGGGGAGCAGAGUGAGCUCUGGAUUCUGGCUCCCCCUGCCUCAGCCAUGCUCCUUGUGCCCACAUACAUGCUACAGGCACAGUGCGCAGUGCCGUCAGCCACUGUAACAGCCAGGAUGUUACUGAUUUAAUGAAUUUACCUGUAAAGGAGCACUGGUUAGUUCAUACAAGGGUGCAAAUUAUUACAUAAUUAAAUUUUUAAAGAUGUGCCCAUUUAAAUCAUCAUUCCUAAAGCAAUCUCAUGUUGACGUAGUACUUAGCACAGGGAAAAAAGGCUGAGAAUUUUUACUUUAGAAACAGCUGAGGUACCCAGGAGCUUUGGGACAGAUCUGAAAUAUGCUUGGGCUUGAGUAUGAAAUAUACAGCCUGCCUUGCAAAACUUAGCAUCAGUGACAUGAAGCAGCUCAGGGAUGUGGGGAGCAUUGCAGAAGCUUAGAAAACUUUAAGUAAGUUGCUCAGUAAAAUCUUUGAUGCCAAAAGUCUGUACAUAUGGUGAGCAAGGCAAAAUUGGAUCUGAAAGCAUAUUUUGAUUUAUUGAUUUUAGGUGAAGCUCUGCUACUUGUCCUUUUUAUUUUGGAUUGAAAAAGUAUGUAGUCCCCUUCAGUCUUUUUUAUUUCCUGGUUCUGGGGGUUGAUUCUUUAGGAAGCAGGGCCUCUGGAAUCUUAAAAGUUCCCAUUCUCAUAGGUAAUUAAGUUCACAAAAUUGUACAUGUUGUGUUCCUAAUGACCUUAAUGUUCAAGAACUAAAAUCUCACACUGGAAAUCCAUUUAAAAACGAGUUGCUGCAGUGCUCAUCAACUACCUCGACAUGUCAAGUCAUAGAAAGCAAAAUUUCACAAACCAUCCUUUCCCAUAGAUGAAUCUGUAACCCAUAACUGAUUAAGGAUAAUUAGGCCUUGCUAAUUGGGAACUGGACACAUCACUCUAACUAGUCUUCAGUGGAGCUUUGCUGUGCAGAGAGAGAAGAGCAGUCAGAUGUAGGGUAGAGGCAAGACCCGCAGUGAACAACACUGUAAAGUAGAACAUUUGGCUUUUGUGCCCUAGCCCUCACCUGCCCAUUCUCCUGCCCUUCUGGCUGUUGAUCUCCCAAAAUGCCAGGUCCACCUUCGGCUUCCAUAUUUCAGCAGCAUUCCAGUUGCCACAUUACUAUUGCUCUCAAAAUUUGCCAGUCCCUGGCCUCUGCAAGGCAGUCAUCUAAGCAAUGGAUCACUGUUGCCAUCUUCAUGAAUGCUUACUUAUUAGGGACCAUCUUCCCAGGGUCUUUGUGCAGGUUACUAGGGGCUUCUGGGGGGGGCAGUGACCUAAUCCAGUCGAUGACUCCAACCUUGAGACUUCCAGGUUGCAGAUGCACAUGAUAAGCCUCCAAAUUACAGGUGAGCAAGUGGUGGCUCACUCCACAAACUGUAGCCUUGUAUAUGGCUAGGGCCCAGAAAAGUUAAGAAAUUUACUUUUUUUUUCUUUUUAACCAUACCAAAAUUUUAUAUGAGUUCUCCCUCCCUCAUAGAUAGAAUGUUAAAGACUAUCAAGUCUGGUAUUCACAAAAAAUUUUAGUCCCUUGGGGUGCUUGGCAAAAACAUGGCAUGAUUUAUUCUUCUCAGAAAUUAAGCAUGCACAUAGGCAUGUUAAGGCUUUUGAGAAAUCCUGUAGUAAAGAGACCUAUUUACCUUGCCUUAAUCCAGCAUUCUCCAAAAUUAUUUGACCACGUAACCUUUCUCCCCCAGCAGUAACACUUACUGAUAUCCCAUGGAACUACUACUACUCCUUAAAACAUACUUUGGAAAUGUUAAUCCAAUUCAAUGAGCACAUUUUAAAGAUGAAGAAACUAAGGCCCAGAGCAGAUGGAAGGCACUUAGGUCCAGGAGACAUAAUAAGGUUCUCAAGACCUGGAGAAGACUCAGGCUCCUAGGUAAGUUCUCCUUCUCCCCCCUGUCCUUGCAUUAACCCCAGGCUAAGAACUGGGAUUUCAACAAGGAUGGCUCUGCCGUGAGGCAUCUUGACAAUAAAUGACUGCCUGCCACAGGUGCUUGUAAUGAAAGGAAUAAUGGAAGGAAAAAGCAGCUCAAUACACUUUUUACGUGAAAAUUCAGUGAAGAUUCUGACCAAGAAAAAUUCCAUGGUGUGCUCCCAACACUCGGUUUAUGAGUUUUCUUAUUUCAGUUUGGUUUCCAGAGACAGCAUAAAUACCAGUUUUUGCCUAGUAACCGCUGUGCUGAAAUCGCUAUUGCUCUUGAUUUAAUUUAAUCUUAUUAUUUCAGUCAUAAAGAAGACAGUAAUGUAAAUUAUUUGUGGGCUUAAACAUCUAUUUAUAUCUUUUUUUUCUUUCUCUUCAGAUAAUAAAAUGGGAAAUUGUUAAACACACAUUCAUCUUCAGAACAGUGAGUCCAGGAGGAAGCUUUCAAAACAGGAGCCCAGCCAAUCGCAAACGUUUCUCUGGACAGACUCUCCUCAGCCCCAGACCUGGCUACUAAGAAAGCCAUAUACCCCAGCACUGUGAAGAUGACAAAUCCUGAAACGAAGCUCGUCAUGCAGUUCACCACACUGGUCACCAAGGCGUCUCUGGAGCAGAAAACCCAAGGGGCCUGAGACAUUUGCGAGUCAGGAAUCUAAGAAGCAUCUGUCUCCAGCUGUGACAAGGCUCGCAAAAGCCAGCAGGACCCCAAAGCCAGGACCGAGAGAGAAGAAGAUCUGGGCGGCCGCAUCCACCCACACCUGCAACACAGCAGAGAUGCUAAAGUAGAUAAUAGUGAAGAUCAGCAUGAUGCAGAGGGCAAGCUGCCAGCUGAUGCCCCCCAGGUCCUGGAGCCCCUUUGAC